UAAUACGUAGGGGGCCAGCGUUGUCCGGAUUUAUUGGGCGUAAAGAGCGUGUAGGCGGCCAGGUAGGUCUGGUGUGAAAACUCGAGGCUCAACCUCGAGAUGUCAUCGGAAACCAUCUGGCUAGAGUCCGGAAGAGGAGAGUGGAAUUCCUGGUGUAGCGGUGAAAUGCGCAGAUAUCAGGAAGAACACCUAUGGCGAAGGCAGCUCUCUGGGACGGUACUGACGCUGAGACGCGAAAGCGUGGGGAGCGAACAGGAUUAGAUACCCUGGUAGUCCACGCCGUAAACGAUGGGUGCUAGGUGUGGGUGGUGUCGACUCCAUCCGUGCCGCAGCUAACGCAUUAAGCACCCCGCCUGGGGAGUACGGCCGCAAGGCUA
rnacentral:rRNA from 1 species